GGUUGGGAAGACAAAGUUUUUGCAUUAGAUUGUAGCUCUAAGAUAGGGGAGGUUCCCCCCCCGCCA
rnacentral:tRNA from 1 species